rnacentral:rRNA from 1 species
UAGGGAAUUUUGCGCAAUGGGGGAAACCCUGACGCAGCAACGCCGCGUGUGUGACGAAGCCCUUCGGGGUGUAAAGCACUGUCAGUGGGGACGAAUUUUGACGGUACCCACAAAGGAAGCACCGGCUAACUCCGUGCCAGCAGCCGCGGUAAUACGGAGGGUGCAAGCGUUGUCCGGAAUCAUUGGGCGUAAAGCGUUCGUAGGCGGCAUACCAAGUCUGGUGUUAAAGCCCGAGGCUCAACCUCGGUUCGGCAUCGGAUACUGGUAAGCUAGAAUGCGGUAGAGGUGAAGGGAAUUCCUGGUGUAGCGGUGAAAUGCGUAGAUAUCAGGAGGAACAUCAGUGGCGUAAGCGCUUCACUGGGCCGUAAUUGACGCUGAGGAACGAAAGCCGGGGGAGCAAAUG